CUCUUCGAAUCUCCGACAUGACAGACGACAGAGUUUACCCAUCGUCGAAACCUCCCGGCGCAGCCACCGCCAACCCCACUUUCCCGGCGAACAAAGCUCAGCUCUACAGCGCUAACCGCCCAGCUUACCGUCAACCGGCCUCCCGCCGCCGCACGCAUAGCCGCGGAUGCUGCUGCCGCUGCUGCUGCUGGACGAUUUUCGUGAUCCUCCUCCUGAUCGCCGCCGCCGCCGCCGCGUCCGCCGUCGUGUACCUAAUCUACCGUCCUCAACGCCCGAGCUUCACCGUGUCUUCCCUCAAAGUCUCCUCUCUCAACUUCACCUCCGCCAACCACCUCGCCACCGCCAUCUCCCUCUCCGUCAUCGCCAAGAACCCCAACAAGAACGUCGGGUUCAACUACGACGUCACCGACAUCACGGUCUACAAAACCUCUCCCGGAGACGAUGACGUCGUCAUCGGUAAAGGCUCGAUCCCGUCGUUUGUCCACGGGAAGAAGAACACGACUCUGCUGAAAUCGACGAUCGGGAGUCCUCCCGGAGAUCUUGAUGAGCUGUCGGCGGGGAAGCUCAAGGGGGAGCUGAAGGCGAAGAAAGCGGUGGCGGUUAAGAUUGUUCUUGAUACGAAGGUGAAGGUGAAGAUGGGAUCUGUGAAAAGCCCUAAGUCGGGGAUUAGGGUUACUUGCGAAGGGAUUAAAGCGGCGGGUCCGUCGGGGAAGAAGGCGACGACGGCUGCUACCUCGGGCGCGAAGUGUAAGGUUGAUCUUAGGAUCAAGAUCUGGAAAUUUACUUUUUAACCGUUGGGGUAAAAAAGGAAAUGUAAUUCACGUUCGUAGUUUUUUUUCUCAUCUUUCCAUUGUUUCAAUUUUCGUUUUCUUCUUAAUUUGAUUUCAUAUACAGUUCUUCGAUUCCCGUAAGACUUUAUUUUUUGGUUUAUGUAAAUGAGAUAUAUAAUAUAUUUGUGUUCGGUCUGAGCUUCACUGUUUUCUAUUAUUUUGUGAAAAAUGUUUGAUUUGUUAAACAAAAGAAGUUUAAUCAGUUGAUUAUAGUUAUUGUUACUGUUCGAAUUUGAUUAAGAGAGGGUCAUCUAGGGCACAAAGAACAAAAGAAAAGCGAGAAGAAAACGCAGCAUGCUUAUUUAAUUAAUUAAUAUGGGGGUAAUAAUGCAAGUGAUGUGACGACUACUAUAACUUCUGCAAGUGCUAUGGACAGUUAAUCUCUUAAGUAGACAAUUAAGCCGAGCUACUCUUAGUUGUAACAAUUAAUUGAGCCUGCCAUGUGGUCCAUGUGUGUAUGAGAAUAUACUCAUAAACAUACCCAUAUUAAGAACCUAUCAACUAUUGCUUCACAACGAAUGUAUAUAAUUGGUGUCUAUUAUUAAUCUCCAGGUCUGUUGGGUGGUGUAUGUUUAUUAAUAAAAUGUGGGCACAAAGUAAGUGAUAAGGUCUAGAAGGUGUUGGUGAAUAUGUUCGAUUCAACUUUAACAAGCACAAGCAAAGCUACGAUGAAUCAUGAUUGAAAAGCAGGUCUUAUGUAAUUAUCAACAACAAAAAAGAGAUUAGGUGUUAUGGUGUAAAACGACGACUAACAUGUGAUGGAAUUUGUUCGUUUUCCACAAAAUAAUAUAUAAAAAAUAAAGCAGUUGCAAAAUCUUCUUAUAUCAACUCAGGAAACCAAUUUUUUUAUUUUGAGUUGGUUAGUUUAAUCAGUUAUGAACUUAUGAAUAUAAUAUCAGAGUGCGAAGGGAAUAGGUGCACAUAAAAGUGCUAGAAGAAUUUUACCUUAUGGACCAAUCACAAUGUUUUAGUAAAUAUUUUGGGUUUAAAGAAACUACAAACCAGUCUAAAAUUUCUAUUCACAAGAACUAAUUUAUUUUGGUGAAUAUCUCCACACAAAAAGAAGAGACUAUUUUAGUUGUAAAACUAUAAAAUCCAUGAUGGCAGCAACAAAAAAUAUUUAUUCUUUCAGUUUUCUACACAACUAUAUUUUCUUAUUCUUCCAUACAGGUAUUAAUGUAUUAUAUUGAGUUAAAUGUGCUAUUAUUUUAUAUUUAAAAAUACAAAAUAUAUAGUGUGAAUACAUUUAUGAUUAUAGUGUGAACGCGUUAGCAUAUUUAUUAUCAAAUCAUUGUGAGGUUGCCACGUGUCUAUUAUAGUGUGAAUGCAUUUAUUACAAUGCUUCUCCUUUAAUAUAUAAGGGAUAAGAAUGUCAAAUUAUUGUAGUCACUUGUGUCAUUACGUUAACGUUACAGGGCUUACCGUUCCGGUUGGAUUAGGGACAGGGCCGGCUCACUAUUACCGAAGGCUCUUGAGCAAAAAUUUUGUUAGAACCCUACAAUUGGCUAGUUUUGUAACUAAGAACUUUUUGACUCAAUCAUCACAACAAUACACAUUUCUAUUAGGUAUUUUAACUAGAUAAGUAGAAAUUUCAUGUUUUUAUGCUGUCUAACUCUGGAUCAAAUAUGCUAAUUUUAAGAAUUAAGACCCCUAAUAUUAUUACAGUUUAGACUAGGCUCCGGGGCGGUCGCACUGGCCGCCCCUGAUUAAAGAAACUACAAACAUUAGGAAACUCGGUUGGAUCAAGGAAACUACAAACACUAGGAAAUUGAGAUCAAACGGAAGUAAAAAGGUUAAGCCUCAAGAGGUACGCCAGUUUCUUAUACGUACGACAUGGAAGAGUAAACUCAGGGGCAACAAUGCCAAGAAACGGGUUAAUAAGUCUGAUCUGAUUUGUUAAUAACAAAUUGUUAUUUGAGUUAUGGAAGAAAGUAACCAAUGAACAUGGGCUUUCUCCCUUUUGUGUGUGUUACUACUUACUAGUGAAUGUAAAAAAGUAAGCGUAUACCGUUGACUAAUAACUUAAAUCCUCAAUAGUCAUAUGGUAAGUUGGCUUCAAUAUUAUUAUUACCUUCUUUUUUUUCUUAACUAGGCACAUUGUUCUGUAUAUAAUCUUGCUACAAAAUUUCAAACCAACAUAAGGCAUGCAAGUUUUCUUACAUUUCGUAAUAGUAAAGGAAGAGAUCAAUCAUAUGAUUCAUAUCACAUGCAUAUGCAAUGUUGCUCCAUGCUAAACGUAUGUGAUAGUGCGUGCGGAUAAUAUGCAAUAUUUUGUUUGUUUUUUUGAAACUAAAAAGGAUUCUUUUUCUCAUCACGUAUUUACAUAUAUGUACGUAUAUCCGAAAACCCCAUAUAAAAACUUCUUUUCACAUUGCUUAAAUAUAUGAAAUUGCUUGCUUUAAAUAAGAUCUAAAUGAGAAAGGGACUAAGCAUCAGUUCUUUUUUAAAUUUGGAAAGGAACUUUCAUAUAUCUUUGCUUCAAUACAAAGGCAAUUAUGUUUGGUGUACGAUUUCACGUUUCAACUCAAAAUUUUGUUUCUACAUUUUUAAAAAUAAACUCUUCUAUCUUUCGUCAUUUUGAAAAUGUAAAUAUGUGAUAUACUCUACUAAUUUAGCAAUAUAUUGCUGUAAAUAGACAUAUCACGAUUAAAACGGACCACAAAAUAUAUCUUCAAAAAAAAAAAAAACGGACCACAAAAUAUGUACGUAUUAAAUAAUGUCACCAAAAAUGCUUAGCAAAUAACAACUGGAACCCUCGUGACUUUUUUAGCACCGUCUACUUUUUUUUUUUGAACAACAUAGCACCGUUUACUUACUCCCGAAAAGCGUGACACGAACGCGCUCAUGCGACGCGCGUAAGCACCAUCUUCCCGCGUUGAGCUGUCACUCUCUUUGUCGGUCUCCGUCGCUUUUUUUCCAUCGCUUCCUCUCUCAUUCUCCACCACUUUCAUUAUUAAACUAAUCAGCCAUUAGAAGAAAAAAGCUUCACUGUAACUCUCCCACAACCAUUUAAAACGCCAUUACAUUUCAACCACUCUUUUCAUCUCUCUCUCUCUCUCUUCUCUUCGAAUCUCCGACAUGACAGACGACAGAGUUUACCCAUCGUCGAAACCUCCCGGCGCAGCCACCGCCAACCCCACUUUCCCGGCGAACAAAGCUCAGCUCUACAGCGCUAACCGCCCAGCUUACCGUCAACCGGCCUCCCGCCGCCGCACGCAUAGCCGCGGAUGCUGCUGCCGCUGCUGCUGCUGGACGAUUUUCGUGAUCCUCCUCCUGAUCGCCGCCGCCGCCGCCGCGUCCGCCGUCGUGUACCUAAUCUACCGUCCUCAACGCCCGAGCUUCACCGUGUCUUCCCUCAAAGUCUCCUCUCUCAACUUCACCUCCGCCAACCACCUCGCCACCGCCAUCUCCCUCUCCGUCAUCGCCAAGAACCCCAACAAGAACGUCGGGUUCAACUACGACGUCACCGACAUCACGGUCUACAAAACCUCUCCCGGAGACGAUGACGUCGUCAUCGGUAAAGGCUCGAUCCCGUCGUUUGUCCACGGGAAGAAGAACACGACUCUGCUGAAAUCGACGAUCGGGAGUCCUCCCGGAGAUCUUGAUGAGCUGUCGGCGGGGAAGCUCAAGGGGGAG
rnacentral:lncRNA from 1 species